rnacentral:tRNA from 1 species
GCCCUGUUGAUCUAGUGGUUAAGAUUUGGCACUCUCACUGCUGCAGUCUGGGUUCAUUUCCUGGUCAGGGAA